ensembl:lncRNA
GGCAAGGCCAGGUAGGACUCCAAUAUCCCAGCGGCUGCGGCUCCUGCUGUUUCAUCUUCCCCACCCCCGAGUCCCCAGAACUUGGGCUCCCCAGGUGGCUCAGGGGGAAAGAAUCCACCUCCAAUGCCAGAGACGCGGGAGACCUUGGUUCAGUCCCCGGGUCAGUAAGAUCCCCUGGAGGAGGAAAUGCACCCCACUCCAGAAUUCUUCCCUGGUAAAUCCUAUGGACAGAGGAGUCGCAAAGAGUCAGACACGAUGGAGCACAGCUUGGCAGCAGCAUGCCUCUAGAACAAGCGCUCCUUGCUGGCAGGGAGUUUGUCUGCUCUGCUUGCCUCCUAACACCUGGAGCCUAGAGCAGACCCUGGUGUAUGAGACCUUCAGGAAACACAUAUAAAUAUCUGCUGGACAGGUGAGCGCAUUUGCAAUACUUUUUGUUUUUUCUUUCUAGAUUGCCCUAUGUGUGCCCCUUGUUUCAGGCAAACCAGGGAACUUUCCAUUUCUGUGCGAACCCAGUGUUCCCUCACCUUUACUGAGGCUGCCACUGUGAGCAAUUCGUCUUUCUCAAUGUCCCCUGUGUAAACUUCUCACUGUCAGGCAAAUGCCUCCUCCAGGAAGUCACCUUGGAAGUGACACCUCCCUUCCAUUCCAGUCCCUAACUGCAG